rnacentral:rRNA from 1 species
UACGAACUGUGCGAACGUUAUUCGGAAUCACUGGGCUUAAAGGGUGCGUAGGCGGUUUGUUAAGUCAGGUGUGAAAUCCCCCAGCUCAACUGGGGAACAGCGCUUGAAACUAGCAGACUUGAGUGAGGUAAGGGUGUGCGGAACUUCCAGUGGAGCGGUGAAAUGUGUAGAUAUUGGAAGGAACGCCGGUGGCGAAAGCGGCACACUGGGCCUUGUCUGACGCUGAGGCACGAAAGCUAGGGGAGUGAACGGGAUUAGAUACCCCGCUAAUCCUAGCCGUAAACACUGAGCACUGGAGGGGGGCAGGUUCGCCUCUCCCCCUCGUAGCGAAAGCGUUAAGUGCUCCGCCUGGGGAGUAUGGUCGCAAGGCUGAA